AAUUGCCACCAGCCCAUAGAACAUUUUUCUCUCUAACUUGUCUCUUUUCUCACUAUCAGGUUUCUUUAAAAUUCCAGUUUGCAGUAUUAUUUUUCAGUUGAGUGGUUUUCAACUUUUCGAAAAACAUGCCAAGUCAUCCUUUCCAAUGUUGUUCUGUAUUGUGUUUUAGCUGAAUUAUGCUUUGGUUGCUAAUUUGUAUAUAUCUUGUUGUUUUCUUCUUUCAAAUUUGUCAUGACAACCAUUGCAUGGGACUUUGUGUAUGUUUUUUUGUCUGUGUGGAUAAUAAAAUUAUUAUUUAACGCAUCAGAAAUUCUGCCUUGCAACUAACCCGACUAAAGUGUUUUUUUAUGUUUAUGGGUGGGUGCAUAUUUAAACUUGGAAUGAUAUCUGUUGUGACCUGGAUUUGCGUUAAUGGAGCUUUCCUUUUACAUAUACAGGAGAAUUAUCCAGCAGUGAUGAGAAGAAAUAUAAAGCUCCGAAGCGAGCAACAAAGAGGGAGAUAUCUCAGAGUGCUGAUGUCAUUUGUUGCACAUGUGUUGGUGCUGGCGAUCCUCGAUUGGCUAAUUUUAGAUUUCGCCAGGUCCUUAUUAAUGAAUCUACUCAAGCAACUGAGCCCGAGUGUCUUAUUCCCUUGGUUCUUGGCGUGAAGCAGGUUGUUCUCGUUGGUGACCAUUGGAUAAUAGAUGUCUCGCUGAUUCACAUAAAUAUGAAACCACACCCAUAUAAAAAGUUUAAUAAAAAAUUUAAUAAACUAUUUAGUAUCCUAGCAUGACUCAUUAAUUUUUACUCCCAUUUAACAGAUUUCCUUCUUUAAAAUGCCACCAGCCCAUAGAACAUUUUUCUCUCUAACUUGUCUCUUUUCUCUACUCAACAUAUAAGUAAUUGAUGACAAUGAAAAUGAAAACCCACUAAGAGAAGAGAGAACAAAGAAAAUUCAAUGCACAAACUUGAGAGUCCAUAGAUCAACA